AGUUAGUCACCUACGCAAAGGAGGGCGAUUACCACGGCAGGGUUCGUGACUGGGGUG
rnacentral:rRNA from 1 species